UACGUAGGCGGCAGAAUAAGUCGUGCGUGAAAGGCAGGGGCUCAACCUCUGGAGUGCGCAUGAUACUGUUUUGCUAGAGUAAUGGAGGGGGAACCGGAAUUCAUGGUGUAGCAGUGAAAUGCGUAGAUAUCAUGAAGAAGACUCGUGGCGAAGGCGGGUUCCUGGACAUUAACUGACGCUCAUGUACGAAGGCCGGGGUAGCGAAAG
rnacentral:rRNA from 1 species